GCCACACCCCGCAACCGUGCGUUGAGGGGAUGGCACCCGACGGGUCCCACUGUCGAGUAGUGCUCUAAAACUUUCCCGUCCAUUUACGUGUCCAAUGUGUUGUUGGUAAUUAUUUGAUUUGACCAGUGCUUUUCAAUAAAUCUUUUUUGACUUUGGGCAAGGCCACACACAUUACCUCUACCUAAUUUCUGCUGAAAAUGGAGGAAGCAAAACGCCUGUUUGAACUGCGAAAAUCUGCGGGUGAAAGUGGAAGCAAGAGGAACUGCCGAUGCUGGUUUACAAAACAAAAAAGCACACCGAGUGCUAGAGUAACUCAACGGGUCAGGCAGCACCUCUGGAGAACAUGGAUAGAUGACGUUUCGGUCGGGAUCUUCAGACGGCUCUGAAAGUGCUCUCAAAAGUUGCUGAGACGUUGUUGUUGUUGUUUGUCUGCGGUGUUACACGUAUAGCUUAAACUUCAUGUCCAAUCCUAGAUUCUCUGAGUACGUUGCGGAUCUUCUGUUUGGUUUUUCGGGAAGAUUUAGGAGUCAACCACGUUGCGUCAUCGGAGUCAACCUAGCACACGUUGGGACAUGGGUAUCACUGGCAUUUAAAGGCCUUCUCUCAUUGUUCUUGAGGAGAUGGAGGUGGACAGACAUCUGCCUAGAGUCGCUGUGGUCCUUGUGAUGAAGAUUCUACCCAUAUGCUGUUAGACUUGCUUCAUCGCGUGUGGUGUUUAACUUCCGGAUGAGGAACAGCACCGUGCAUUGGGCGGUGAUUAAUCCAGUCAAUCGAGUUUGGAGGGUGGUAAACCACAACAUACUCCUGACAGAUGCUGCCUGACCCACUGAGGGUUUCAUGUAUUUCCUGUAUUCACCUAUUAUUACACUGGAUUAUGAAUGGAUUCAGGUGGACGUUGAAGAUUGCCAAUAACAGUUUUUCAAAGAACAUCAUUGGAUUCCUUUCGGACCGAGAAUUAUUGUUCAACCAGCAUCACUCAAAAUAAAUUGCCUGUUUUCUC